rnacentral:lncRNA from 1 species
GUGAGUGACAGUUUUUAAAUCCAUUACCAUUAGAAAACCACAGGUUUUAAGAAAAUUUUAUUUUCCAUUUAUAUUGAGGUACAAUUGACAUAUAGUAAAUUUCACCCUUUUAAGCACACAGUUCUUAGAAUUUUGAAAUACAGUUAUGUAACCACCACCACAAUCAAGAUACACAACAGUGCCAUCGGCCCCUAAAAUUCCCCCAUGCCUCUUUUGUAACCAUCCCCUCUUCAAACCGCAGCCCUUGGCAACCACUAAUCUGUUUUUCUUCCUGUAGUUUGGCUUUCUUAAGAAUGUCGUAUAAACUGAGUCAUGGAGUAGGUAGCCCUUGGUAUCCUGCUUCUUUCAGCUAGCAUAAUGCAUGUGAGAUCCAUUCAUGCUGUUGUGCAAAACAGUAGUUUGUUUCUUUUUAUUGCUGAGUAAGGAUUUUAUUGUAUGGAAUGUACCAGUUUGUUUAUCCAUUCUCCAGUUGAGAAACAUUUGGGUAGUUUUUAGUUCCUGGUGAUGACAGAUAAAGCUGCUGCAAACAUUCAUGUGCAUAUUUUCGUGAGGAUGUAGUUUUCAUUUCACUUGAGUAAAUGCAAAGCAGUGAGAUUGCUGGGUCAUACAGUAUCCUUCUAAUUAAAAUAUCUGACCAUGUCCCCAUCAGCCACUUGCCUCAUUUGGGACACCACCAACCAUCCUGCACGGCUGCCCAUGUUUCUGUUUCUCCAGCCCAAGCAUGCAGUUUCAGUAGGUCCUUCAGAGGCUGCCUGAAAGGAGCUCCUGAAUUUCACAGACAAAUCCAGACCCCUGUGUGGAAAGCCUGCGGUGGUGUUCUCCGUCUUCCCACAGGACUCCCUGCAGCCAGGAAUUCUAGGGGAGCACCUGACGCGAGGUAUACGCCCAGAUGGCCUGAAGUAACUGAAGAAUCACAAAAGAAGUGAAAAUGUCCUGCCCCGCCUUAACUGAUGACAUUCCACCACAAAGGAAGUGUCAAUGGCUGGUCCUUGCCUUAACUGAUGACAUUCCACCGCAAAAGAAGUGAAAAUGGCCGGUCCUUGCCUUAACUGAUGACAUUACACCACAAAAGAAGUGAAAAUGGCCGGUCCUUGCCUUAAGUGAUGGCAUUACCUUGUGAAAGUCCUUUUCCUGGCUCAUUCUGGCUCAAAAUCACCCCCACUGAGCACCUUGUGACCCCCACUCCUGCCCGCCAGGGAACAAUCCCCCUUUGACUGUAAUUUUCCUUUACCUACCCAAAUCUUAUAAAAUGGCCCCACCCCUAUCUCCCUUUGCUGACUCUCUUUUUGGACUCAGCCUGCCUGCAUCCAGGUGAUUAAAAGCUUUUAUUGCUCACACA